UUAAGGUAUAUCAUUCUAUAAUUUUGGGUUUAUAGAUUCAAAGUUAAGGUCUCGUGUAUAUAUAUUUAUAUAUAUACUAUUGUGAUAUGUUCUAAUUAAUAAGUGUAAAAUUUAGGUUUUUCAUAAGAAACUCAUUAUUGGUUUUCAAGGAUCACUCUUAUUGCAAUCAAGGCUAGAACUCCACAUUCGAGACCAAGGUAACUGAAAGUUUAGAAAGUCGGUGGCGAGUGGAACUUUGGACGCUUGUGUGUGUGAACUCGCUGAGGACCAUAUAACUGUGGGCGGUCUAGGGCGCUCUGUUUAUUUAUUUACGCUAUUAAACUUAUGUCGCAAUUAUUUUAGUUAUUAUUUAUUAUGUCUUUUGUACGAAAACUGGCCAGUUGUGAAUAUUUUCAAGUAUUAAAUAAAAAUGCGACAUUAUGAUUUUCCGCGUUUAA